rnacentral:lncRNA from 1 species
GGACUUAGGGCUAAUUUUGAUAAAACAGAAGCCAUAUGGAUUGGGUCAAAGAUUCACUCAAGGGAUAAACUAACAACUACAAGAAAUUUGAACUGGAAUCAUUCAGGAAAAUUUAAACUUUUAGGAAUAAAAUUUGAUCUGUUCAGUGAAAAUAAAACGCUUGUAAAUUUUGAAGAAAAAAUAAAAAAAAUACAGAGCCUGCUAAAUUCCUGGGUUUAUAGAGAUUUAACAUAUAUGGGAAAGAUCACUGUCAUUAAAUCACUAGCUCUACCUAUUCUAAUUCAAUCAUUGACAGUUUUUGCCAAAUCCUCCGGAUGAUAAAAUAAAAGAAAUUCAAAAUAUUUUUUUUAGUUUCUUGUGGUCAGGAAAACCAGACAAGAUUAAAAGAAAAGUUAUGAUAGGGUUAUUUGAAAAUGGGGGGUUGAAAAAUGCCAGAUAUAAGAUCCUUUUGUUAUUCAUUAAAGAUGACAUGGAUAAAUAAACUUUUAGACCCCUUGAAUAUAUCCCCAUGGAAAACAUUGUUAAUAGAUCAAUACAACAGAUUGGGAGCA